ACUGCAAUGGUUGUAAGUGCAAGGACCAGUCAUAAGUCACUUUUUUCAGCACUGUCAUAGCUUCAAACAUUCGCUAAACAAAUGGUCCUAAGUUGACAACUACCUGUCAUGGUAGGCAUUAGGCUGGCCUUCUGAGUGAAAGAAUGGGCAUUUUGAUGUUUGUUUCCAUUCCUAUUCCAAGAGCACCUCGUUGGAAAGCUUAGCUUUAUGCUGUUGUUGUUAAACACCAACUUUGUAUCCAAUAACUGCACUUGCUUCAUGAUUUGAUUAGCUAGGCAGGAAGGUACAGCAGUAAUUUCAUUAGCUGUCUACAAAGCCAUCAGCAAGAGCCUUCCCUAACUCCAGCUGGUGCUCCAGUUGUGACUCUUUUUGGAAUUGGAUACUCUGGGAUUGUUCAUUCAUGCCUUCAUUACCUCCAGAUUGAAUUACUGCAAUAUUCUUAAUAAAGUCCAGGAUAUCUAUGUGACUUUCUCCUCCAAGAUGACUCUACUCACGAGAUGAUGUUCCAAGUCCAGGAGAAAAAGGGUUUAGGAACAGAGAAGAAUUACUUCUCCAUAGUUGCACUGAAACCUGUAAUAAACUUCCCCAUUUCAACCCA